GAUGAACGCUGGCGGCGUGCCUAAUACAUGCAAGUCGAGCGAACGGACGAGAAGCUUGCUUCUCUGAUGUUAGCGGCGGACGGGUGAGUAACACGUAGAUAACCUACCUAUAAGACUGGGAUAACUUCGGGAAACCGGAGCUAAUACCGGAUAAUAUUUUGAACCGCAUGGUUCAAAAGUGAAAGACGGUCUUGCUGUCACUUAUAGAUGGAUCCGCGCUGCAUUAGCUAGUUGGUAAGGUAACGGCUUACCAAGGCAACGAUGCAUAGCCGACCUGAGAGGGUGAUCGGCCACACUGGAACUGAGACACGGUCCAGACUCCUACGGGAGGCAGCAGUAGGGAAUCUUCCGCAAUGGGCGAAAGCCUGACGGAGCAACGCCGCGUGAGUGAUGAAGGUCUUCGGAUCGUAAAACUCUGUUAUUAGGGAAGAACAUAUGUGUAAGUAACUGUGCACAUCUUGACGGUACCUAAUCAGAAAGCCACGGCUAACUACGUGCCAGCAGCCGCGGUAAUACGUAGGUGGCAAGCGUUAUCCGGAAUUAUUGGGCGUAAAGCGCGCGUAGGCGGUUUUUUAAGUCUGAUGUGAAAGCCCACGGCUCAACCGUGGAGGGUCAUUGGAAACUGGAAAACUUGAGUGCAGAAGAGGAAAGUGGAAUUCCAUGUGUAGCGGUGAAAUGCGCAGAGAUAUGGAGGAACACCAGUGGCGAAGGCGACUUCCUGGUCUGUAACUGACGCUGAUGUGCGAAAGCGUGGGGAUCAAACAGGAUUAGAUACCCUGGUAGUCCACGCCGUAAACGAUGAGUGCUAAGUGUUAGGGGGUUUCCGCCCCUUAGUGCUGCAGCUAACGCAUUAAGCACUCCGCCUGGGGAGUACGACCGCAAGGUUGAAACUCAAAGGAAUUGACGGGGACCCGCACAAGCGGUGGAGCAUGUGGUUUAAUUCGAAGCAACGCGAAGAACCUUACCAAAUCUUGACAUCCUUUGACAACUCUAGAGAUAGAGCCUUCCCCCUCGGGGGACAAAGUGACAGGUGGUGCAUGGUUGUCGUCAGCUCGUGUCGUGAGAUGUUGGGUUAAGUCCCGCAACGAGCGCAACCCUUAAGCUUAGUUGCCAUCAUUAAGUUGGGCACUCUAAGUUGACUGCCGGUGACAAACCGGAGGAAGGUGGGGAUGACGUCAAAUCAUCAUGCCCCUUAUGAUUUGGGCUACACACGUGCUACAAUGGACAAUACAAAGGGCAGCGAAACCGCGAGGUCAAGCAAAUCCCAUAAAGUUGUUCUCAGUUCGGAUUGUAGUCUGCAACUCGACUACAUGAAGCUGGAAUCGCUAGUAAUCGUAGAUCAGCAUGCUACGGUGAAUACGUUCCCGGGUCU
rnacentral:rRNA from 1 species